rnacentral:rRNA from 1 species
UUUGGGCGUGUCUCCCUUCUCGGGAGACUCUCUCGCCCCACGAACCCUUGACCUCAAAUCGGGUGAGACUACCCGCUGAACUUAAGCAUAUCAAUAAGCGGAGGA